UACGAAAGGGGCUAGCGUUGCUCGGAAUCACUGGGCGUAAAGCGCACUAGGCGGCUUUCUAAGUCAGGGGUGAAAUCCUGGAGCUCAACUCCAGAACUGCCUUUGAUACUGGAGAGCUUGAGUCCGGAAGAGGUGAGUGGAACUCCGAGUGUAGAGGUGAAAUUCGUAGAUAUUCGGAAAGAACACCAGUGGCGAAGGCGCUCACUGGUCCGGUACUGACGCUGAUUGUGCGAAA
rnacentral:rRNA from 1 species